rnacentral:rRNA from 1 species
UACGUAGGGGGCAAGCGUUGUCCGGAUUUAUUGGGCGUAAAGAGCGUGUAGGCGGCUAUACAGGUCCGCUGUGAAAACUCGAGGCUCAACCUCGAGACGUCGGUGGAAACCGUAUGGCUAGAGUCCGGAAGAGGAGAGUGGAAUUCCUGGUGUAGCGGUGGAAUGCGCAGAUAUCAGGAGGAACACCAAUAGCGAAGGCAGCUCGCUGGGACGGUAUUGACGCUAAGGCGCGAAAAGCGUGGGGAGCAAACAGG